rnacentral:rRNA from 1 species
GCACAAGCGGUGGAGCAUGUGGUUCAAUUCGACGCAACGCGAAGAACCUUACCUGGGCUCGAAAUGCAGUGGACCGGGGUGGAAACAUCCCUUCCCCUUAAAAGGCUGCUGCAUAGGUGCUGCAUGGCUGUCGUCAGCUCGUGUCGUGAGAUGUUGGGUUAAGUCCCGCAACGAGCGCAACCCUUAUCCCUAGUUGCCAUCGGGUCAAGCCGGGCACUCUAGUGAAACUGCCUGGGAUAACCAGGAGGAAGGUGGGGAUGACGUCAAGUCCUCAUGGCCUUUAUGUCCAGGGCUACACACGUGCUACAAUGGUCGGUACAAACCGUCGCAAACCCGCGAGGGGGAGCUAAUCGGAAAAAGCCGGCCUCAGUUCGGAUUGGAGUCUGCAACUCGACUCCAUGAAGCUGGAAUCGCUAGUAAUCGCGGAUCAGAACGCCGCGGUGAAUACGUUCCCGGGC